rnacentral:rRNA from 1 species
AGAGUUUGAUCAUGGCUCAGGACGAACGCUGGCGGCGUGCCUAAUACAUGCAAGUCGAACGCUUUUUCUUUCACCGGAGCUUGCUCUACCGAAAGAAAAAGAGUGGCGAACGGGUGAGUAACACGUGGGUAACCUGCCCAUCAGAAGGGGAUAACACUUGGAAACAGGUGCUAAUACCGUAUAACACUAUUUUCCGCAUGGAAGAAAGUUGAAAGGCGCUUUUGCGUCACUGAUGGAUGGACCCGCGGUGCAUUAGCUAGUUGGUGAGGUAACGGCUCACCAAGGCAACGAUGCAUAGCCGACCUGAGAGGGUGAUCGGCCACACUGGGACUGAGACACGGCCCAGACUCCUACGGGAGGCAGCAGUAGGGAAUCUUCGGCAAUGGACGGAAGUCUGACCGAGCAACGCCGCGUGAGUGAAGAAGGUUUUCGGAUCGUAAAACUCUGUUGUUAGAGAAGAACAAGGAUGAGAGUAAAAUGUUCAUCCCUUGACGGUAUCUAACCAGAAAGCCACGGCUAACUACGUGCCAGCAGCCGCGGUAAUACGUAGGUGGCAAGCGUUGUCCGGAUUUAUUGGGCGUAAAGCGAGCGCAGGCGGUUUCUUAAGUCUGAUGUGAAAGCCCCCGGCUCAACCGGGGAGGGUCAUUGGAAACUGGGAGACUUGAGUGCAGAAGAGGAGAGUGGAAUUCCAUGUGUAGCGGUGAAAUGCGUAGAUAUAUGGAGGAACACCAGUGGCGAAGGCGGCUCUCUGGUCUGUAACUGACGCUGAGGCUCGAAAGCGUGGGGAGCGAACAGGAUUAGAUACCCUGGUAGUCCACGCCGUAAACGAUGAGUGCUAAGUGCUGGAGGGUUUCCGU